CCCUUAGAUGUUCUGGGCUGCACGCGUGCUACAAUGGCGCUUGCAACAAGUCUUGCCAACCCGAUAGGGUGAGCGGAUCUUUGAAGAGGCGUCGUGAUCGGGAUAGUUGAUUGCAAUUAUUCGACUCGAACGAGGAAUUCCUUGUAAUCGCGAUUCAUCAUAUCGCGUUGAUUACGUCCCUGCCCUUUGUACACACCGCCCGUCGCUACUACCGAUUGGAUGGUUUAGUGAGACCCACGGAUUGGUCCCAGCAUGGCGGGUUACCGCCGCGCUGGCGCGCCGAGAAGUCGGUCGAACUUGAUUAUCUAGAGGAAGUAAAAGUCGUAACA
rnacentral:rRNA from 1 species